rnacentral:ribozyme from 14 species
AUUUUCUUUGGUCUAUCUAUUUUUUAUUUUUUUUAUUAAAAAAAUAAAAAAAAAUGUAUUAUGUUGAAUAUGAUACAUUUGUUUUCAAAAAAAUGUAGAUAGAUAUAAUAUAUACAAAGGGAGGUAGAGGUAGAGGUAGAAAGCGAGUCGAGUACGUCUUCACAAAGAAAUGCUGAGUUCGUUGUAUAAGAGAAGUGGAAGGAAAGGACAUGUAAGAGUGGGAUAGUGCAACAAAAAGUGAGUUCUUGAUAUGCAGCUUCAGAGAAACAUCGCAUGCUAGUUUUUCUUGAGGAGCAUAUAGAUAUGAUUUAUACGUGUUGAACGUAGAUAAUUAGAA